rnacentral:rRNA from 1 species
GACGUAGGAGGCGAGCGUUGUCCGGAUUCAUUGGGCGUAAAGAGCGCGCAGGCGGCUUGGUAAGUCGGAUGUGAAAUCCCGAGGCUCAACCUCGGGUCUGCAUCCGAUACUGCCCGGCUAGAGGUAGGUAGGGGAGAUCGGAAUUCCUGGUGUAGCGGUGAAAUGCGCAGAUAUCAGGAGGAACACCGGUGGCGAAGGCGGAUCUCUGGGCCUUACCUGACGCUCAGGCGCGAAAAGCUAGGGGAGCGAACUGG